rnacentral:rRNA from 1 species
UAGGGAAUCUUCGGCAAUGGGGGCGACCCUGACCGAGCAACGCCGCGUGAGUGAAGAAGGUUUUCGGAUCGUAAAGCUCUGUUGUAAGAGAAGAACGUGUGUGAGAGUGGAAAGUUCACACAGUGACGGUAACUUACCAGAAAGGGACGGCUAACUACGUGCCAGCAGCCGCGGUAAUACGUAGGUCCUGAGCGUUGUCCGGAUUUAUUGGGCGUAAAGCGAGCGCAGGCGGUUUAAUAAGUCUGAAGUUAAAGGCAGUGGCUUAACCAUUGUUCGCUUUGGAAACUGUUAGACUUGAGUGCAGAAGGGGAGAGUGGAAUUCCAUGUGUAGCGGUGAAAUGCGUAGAUAUAUGGAGGAACACCGGUGGCGAAAGCGGCUCUCUGGUCUGUAACUGACGCUGAGGCUCGAAAGCGUGGGGAGCAAACAG